rnacentral:rRNA from 1 species
GGGGAAUUUUGGACAAUGGGCGCAAGCCUGAUCCAGCAAUGCCGCGUGCAGGAUGAAGGCCUUCGGGUUGUAAACUGCUUUUGUACGGAACGAAAAGCCUCUCUCUAAUACAGGGGGGUGAUGACGGUACCGUAAGAAUAAGCACCGGCUAACUACGUGCCAGCAGCCGCGGUAAUACGUAGGGUGCAAGCGUUAAUCGGAAUUACUGGGCGUAAAGCGUGCGCAGGCGGUUGAUUAAGACAGGCGUGAAAUCCCCGGGCUUAACCUGGGAACUACGCUUGUGCCUGUUCGGCUAGAGUUCGGCAGGGGGGGGUGGAAUUCCACGUGUAGCAGUGAAAUGCGUAGAGAUGUUGAGGAACACCGAUGGCGAAGGCAGCCCCCUGGGCCGAUACUGACGCUCAUGCACGAAAGCGUGGGUAGCAAACA